GAUGAACGCUGGCGGCGUGCCUAAUACAUGCAAGUCGAGCGAAUGGAUUAAGAGCUUGCUCUUAUGAAGUUAGCGGCGGACGGGUGAGUAACACGUGGGUAACCUGCCCAUAAGACUGGGAUAACUCCGGGAAACCGGGGCUAAUACCGGAUAACAUUUUGAACCGCAUGGUUCGAAAUUGAAAGGCGGCUUCGGCUGUCACUUAUGGAUGGACCCGCGUCGCAUUAGCUAGUUGGUGAGGUAACGGCUCACCAAGGCAACGAUGCGUAGCCGACCUGAGAGGGUGAUCGGCACACUGGGACUGAGACACGGCCCAGACUCCUACGGGAGGCAGCAGUAUGGAAUCUUCCGCAAUGGACGAAAGUCUGACGGGGCAACGCCGCGUGAGUGAUGAAGGCUUUCGGGUCGUAAAACUCUGUUGUUAGGGAAGAACAAGUGCUAGUUGAAUAAGCUGGCACCUUGACGGUACCUAACCAGAAAGCCACGGCUAACUACGUGCCAGCCGCCGCAGUAA
rnacentral:rRNA from 1 species